UGGGGUGUGGCUCAGUGGUAGAGCACCUGCCUAGCAUGUGCAAGGUUCUGGGAUCCAUCCCCAGCACCACAC
rnacentral:tRNA from 2 species